AAAACUAACCCUGGAUCUCCAUAAUCCAUUUUUUACCGGUCAUAGUUUUUAUUUCAGAUAUCAAAAAUCAAUGAUCAAAAGUUUUGAAACCAAUAUGUAAGACAUCCAACUUUGUAAAUUCCGCUUUCUGUCCGUCAAUUUGCGUUGGUAGUAAUUGACAGAAUUGCAAGAAAAGGGCAUGAAACUGAGCGAGCCCUUAGCCAGGGAAUGUGUAGCGACAGAGAGCGACGUUCAAUAGAAAGUUGUGUAAGAAACCUUCACAGAAUUGAACAUUUAUUGUCUACAGAAACCUACAAUGAACAGUAAAGCAGUUUGACUGAGGUUGGAGUGCUAGCAAUAGCUCAUUUCCAUCGAACCGAGGAUCGUCGUUUCUUCAUAAGGCGGGUUAGUUCAGGGCGGAGUGGCAGACCAUCUAUUGUUACCAGAGAGCACAUAGACGUCCUUAUGAAGCAAGGACAUACAAUCAAAAAAAAGGCAAAAAUGAUGGGAUGUUCCUCGUCGUUUUUGAACAACAAAUCAAAGCUGGUGGACCUACACAUAAGAGGAAGACUGUCUGCCUUAGAUGACAAUCAGCUGCAAGAGCGUGUGAGCACAUUGCAGGACCAGUAUCCAAACUCUGGGAAUGAGAUGAUGAGGGUGCUGCUUCGUGCUCAAGAUGUGAUUGUCACACGGGCCAGGGUACGCUAAAUGUUGGGAAGGACAAACCUGACAUCUGCUGCAAGAAGGUGGAGUCGGACUGUUGCAAGAUGGGGCUUUGUGAUACUUGGUGCCAUCGAAGGACACCCGUGUGGGAUUACCUCAGCUGCAGUACAAACAAUAGGGCAACAACAGUACUCUGUCAGUUUUUGAAAGCAACAUCUUACUAUGGACUACCAUCAAGAGUCAGAUCAGACCAUGGGGAUGAAAACAUGCUGCUUGCUUUAUGCAUGCAUCUAGUUCAAGGGCUGGAACACAGAGGCUUCAUAACAGGAGAAUCAGUUCAUA